rnacentral:rRNA from 1 species
AACGCAGGUGGUUUGGUAAGUCAGGGGUGAAAGUCCACAGCUUAACUGCGGCACUGCCUUUGAUACUACCUUUCUUGAGUGCAUGAGGGGGAAGCGGAAUUCCGAGUGUAGAGGUGAAAUUCGUAGAUAUUCGGAGGAACACCGGUGGCGAAGGCGGCUUCCUGGCAUGUAACUGACACUCAUGUUCGAAAGCGUGGGGAGCAAACAGGAUUAGAUACCCUGGUAGUCCACGCCCUAAACUAUGGGCACUAGGUGUGGGAGGUAUCCGACCCCUUCCGUGCCGCAGCUAACGCAUUAAGUGCCCCGCUGGGGAGUACGGCCGCAAGGUUGAA